UACGUAGGUGGCAAGCGUUAUUCGGAAUUAUUGGGCGUAAAGGGCGCGUAGGCGGCUUUGCAAGUGGCGGGUGAAAUCCCUCGGCUUAACCGAGGAACUGCCUGCCAGACUGUGAGGCUUGAGACCGGGAGAGGUGAGUGGAAUUCCCGGUGUAGCGGUGAAAUGCGCAGAUAUCGGGAGGAACACCAAUGGCGAAGGCAGCUCGCUGGGACGGUACUGACGCUGAGGCGCGAAAGCGUGGGGAGCAAACAGG
rnacentral:rRNA from 1 species